rnacentral:rRNA from 1 species
AUUGAACGCUGGCGGCAGGCUCAACACAUGCAAGUCGAGCGGAGUGAUGGUGCUUGCACUAUCACUUAGCGGCGGACGGGUGAGUAAUGCUUAGGAAUCUGCCUAUUAGUGGGGGACAACAUCUCGAAAGGGAUGCUAAUACCGCAUACGUCCUACGGGAGAAAGCAGGGGAUCACUUGUGACCUUGCGCUAAUAGAUGAGCCUAAGUCGGAUUAGCUAGUUGGUGGGGUAAAGGCCUACCAAGGCGACGAUAUGUAGCGGGUCUGAGAGGAUGAUCCGCCACACUGGGACUGAGACACGGCCCAGACUCCUACGGGAGGCAGCAGUGGGGAAUAUUGGACAAUGGGGGGAACCCUGAUCCAGCCAUGCCGCGUGUGUGAAGAAGGCCUUAUGGUUGUAAAGCACUUUAAGCGAGGAGGAGGCUCUUUUGGUUAAUACCCAAGAUGAGUGGACGUUACUCGCAGAAUAAGCACCGGCUAACUACGUGCCAGCAGCCGCAGUAAGAC